GGAGAUGUUAUCCAUAGGAGCCUAGUGGGAGUCAGACAGCAUAUUACCUAAACAGCACAGUUAACAAUGGGCGAGGGCGAUGCUCCCCUGACGUCUGCCUUCCCCAGACACCUCUCAGCAGCUCCUCGGAGCUGCCCAGCAGCCACAGCUCCGGGUUUGCAAGGCUUAGCUGAAGAGAUGAGCCAAGUACAUCAAAGAUGUGGAUCAAAGCCCCAGAGUCACUUUCUCCCGAGUUCAAGAGGACAGACUCCCAGAUUUUGUUUUUGACAUGCUGGUCAACUCAACGUUUGACUGUCUGCUGACAAUGUGGCAUUGGCCAAAAUAAAAAGAACACCAUUUCUGCUCUACACUGUCCUUCUUGAAUACCUGACAGACGACUCACCAUCCAGGACGGACCGAGCGCACUAGGAACUGGUGGCUGGACCCUACUUGUGUCAAAUAAAUACCACAGGGUGCAGAUUGACCUUGAAGAGAGAAUGGCAGUCACUGCUGUGGCCCCCAGGGAGCACACGGGAACUCUGACUGGGCACCAGCUGCAUCCUGGUGUUCAGUGACAGUGGGAGGAGCUGGAAGCAGUAGCAAGGAGAAGAAAGUAUCUGGGUACAUUUUCUAAUAUAAUAAUUGUACAUGUUGAUUCCAACCUAUUAGAGAAACAGAAUCUGAAGAAUUACUUAGGAAAAGUUUUCUAAGUGAAAGUAAGGUACAUUCUUCAUUGAAAAUAUUGAAAAGGAUUUCUCUGCUUUUAAAUACUGUGAAAGUCUAAGAAUAACACAAGUCAUGUACCAUUUUUCUCUUGUUUUGUUCAAUAAAUGAUUUGGC
rnacentral:lncRNA from 1 species